UGGGGGAUAUUGCGCAAUGGGGGCAACCCUGACGCAGCAACGCCGCGUGAAGGAUGAAGGUUUUCGGAUUGUAAACUUCUUUUAUUAAGGACGAAACUUGACGGUACUUAAUGAAUAAGCUCCGGCUAACUACGUGCCAGCAGCCGCGGUAAUACGUAGGGAGCAAGCGUUGUCCGGAUUUACUGGGUGUAAAGGGUGCGUAGGCGGCUUUGCAAGUCAGAUGUGAAAUCUAUGGGCUCAACCCAUAAACUGCAUUUGAAACUGUAGAGCUUGAGUGAAGUAGAGGCAGGCGGAAUUCCCCGUGUAGCGGUGAAAUGCGUAGAGAUGGGGAGGAACACCAGUGGCGAAGGCGGCCUGCUGGGCUUUAACUGACGCUGAGGCACGAAAGCGUGGGUAGCAAACAGGAUUAGAUACCCUGGUAGUCCACGCUGUAAACGAUGAUUACUAGGUGUGGGGGGUCUGACCCCUUCCGUGCCGGAGUUAACACAAUAAGUAAUCCACCUGGGGAGUACGGCCGCAAGGUUGAAACUCAAAGGAAUUGACGGGGGCCCGCACAAGCAGUGGAGUAUGUGGUUUAAUUCGAAGCAACGCGAAGAACCUUACCAGGUCUUGACAUCCAACUAACGAAGUAGAGAUACAUUAGGUGCCCUUCGGGGAAAGUUGAGACAGGUGGUGCAUGGUUGUCGUCAGCUCGUGUCGUGAAAUGUUGGGUUAAGUCCCGCAACGAGCGCAACCCUUGCUAUUAGUUGCUACGCAAGAGCACUCUAAUAGGACUGCCGUUGACAAAACGGAGGAAGGUGGGGACGACGUCAAAUCAUCAUGCCCCUUAUGACCUGGGCUACACACGUACUACAAUGGAUGUUAACAGAGGGAAGCAAGACAGCGAUGUGGAGCAAACCCCUAAAAACAUUCUCAGUUCAGAUUGCAGGCUGCAACCCGCCUGCAUGAAGAUGGAAUUGCUAGUAAUCGCGGAUCAGCAUGCCGCGGUGAAUACGUUCCC
rnacentral:rRNA from 1 species